rnacentral:rRNA from 1 species
GAUGAACGCUGGCGGCGUGCCUAAUACAUGCAAGUCGAGCGAACGGACGAGAAGCUUGCUUCUCUGAUGUUAGCGGCGGACGGGUGAGUAACACGUGGAUAACCUACCUAUAAGACUGGGAUAACUUCGGGAAACCGGAGCUAAUACCGGAUAAUAUUUUGAACCGCAUGGUUCAAAAGUGAAAGACGGUCUUGCUGUCACUUAUAGAUGGAUCCGCGCUGCAUUAGCUAGUUGGUAAGGUAACGGCUUACCAAGGCAACGAUGCAUAGCCGACCUGAGAGGGUGAUCGGCCACACUGGAACUGAGACAAGGUCCAGACUCCUACGGGAGGCAGCAGUAGGGAAUCUUCCGCAAUGGGCGAAAGCCUGACGGAGCAAAGCCGCGUGAGUGAUGAAGGUCUUCGGAUCGUAAAACUCUGUUAUUAGGGAAGAACAUAUGUGUAAGUAACUGUGCACAUCUUGACGGUACCUAAUCAGAAAGCCACGGCUAACUACGUG